rnacentral:rRNA from 1 species
UGCAAGUCGAGCGGAUGAGUGGAGCUUGCUCCAUGAUUCAGCGGCGGACGGGUGAGUAAUGCCUAGGAAUCUGCCUGGUAGUGGGGGACAACGUUUCGAAAGGAACGCUAAUACCGCAUACGUCCUACGGGAGAAAGCAGGGGACCUUCGGGCCUGGCGCUAUCAGAUGAGCCUAGGUCGGAUUAGCUAGUUGGUGAGGUAAAGGCUCACCAAGGCGACGAUCCGUAACUGGUCUGAGAGGAUGAUCAGUCACACUGGAACUGAGACACGGUCCAGACUCCUACGGGAGGCAGCAGUGGGGAAUAUUGGACAAUGGGCGAAAGCCUGAUCCCAGCCAUGCCGCGUGUGUGAAGAAGGUCUUCGGAUGGUAAAGCACUUUAAGUUGGGAGGAAGGGCAGUAAGUUAAUACCUUGCUGUUUUGACGUUACCGACAGAAUAAGCACCGGCUAACUUCGUGCCAGCAGCCGCGGUAAUACGAAGGGUGCAAGCGUUAAUCGGAAUUA